GGGCCCGCACAAGCGGUGGAGCAUGUGGUUUAAUUCGAUGAUACGCGAGGAACCUUACCAGGGCUUAAAUGUAAGUUGCAUAAGUUAGAGAUAGCUUUUUCUUCGGACUACUUACAAGGUGCUGCAUGGUUGUCGUCAGCUCGUGCCGUGAGGUGUCAGGUUAAGUCCUAUAACGAGCGCAACCCCUGUUGUUAGUUGCCAUCGAGUAAUGUCGGGAACUCUAACAAGACUGCCGGUGCAAACCGUGAGGAAGGUGGGGAUGACGUCAAAUCAUCACGGCCCUUACGUCCUGGCUACACACGUGCUACAAUGGCUAGGACAGACGGCUGCAAACCAGCGAUGGGGAG
rnacentral:rRNA from 1 species